AUGAUUAAAAACCUCAAAAAAGAGUUUAAGAGGACACAAGAGAAAGUUAGCAUUGGAGUUAUCUCUCCAUAUAAUGCUCAAGUCUAUGCAAUCCAGGACAAAAUUAAGGAGUACACUUCUGUUUCUGAUACUGAUUUCUCUAUCAAAUGGAGUGGAAAAGUCGAUUUUCUUUCAAAUCGAAAAAUAACCAAUGUGGCCAUGACUAGAGCAAGAUCUUCACAAGUCAAAGGAAAUGGAUGCAACCAAGUCAAUCAAUGGUGA